rnacentral:tRNA from 1 species
GGCUCGUUGGUCUAGGGGUAUGAUUCUCGCUAUGAAUGCGAGAGGUCCCAGGUUCAAAUCCUGGAAGAACCC